CCGUACCAACAAAUGAUGUCAUUUGAUAACAAUUUCCCACCACCGUCGACUGGUGGCGACCGACGUCUCUCAACUCUCCUCCACUCUCCACUCUCCAGUCCUCCAGUCGCCUUCCAGCAAUCAGCUCGUCAGUCGUCGCAACAGCCGUCAGCCAGUCGUGCCGCUCGUCAGUCGUCACCGGCCGAGAACGAAACGACAAACUCAAAUUUAUUCGAUUUUGCCGUCAGGUCAAACAAAUCGACGUCGUCGAAAAAAACCACUACGAUGACCACCGCUCCGGCCAAGCUUUACGGCAAGAACCUGAGCGAUUAUGACGAGCUCGACGUUGACCAACUUCUCUCUCAAUUGUCACCCGAAGAAAUCAGCAUUUUGGCCAAAGAAGUCGAUCCAGAUGACAACUUAUUACCACCAUCAGAGCGUUGUAGUUAUGAAUGUAACAAAGAAGCCACAGGACCAUUAAACAGAAAAAAACUGAUUGAACAUAUUAACAAACAGGCUCUAGAAACGCCUGAUCUACCAGAAAUUAAACCAUAUGUUGCUGGAACUGUACGAGGGAAAAAGUGGGUGGCACCUGAAACCAAUGGUAACACUGAACAUGAAGAUAAAAUUGCCAUUGAUAUUGAUGAUGAAUAUGGUGAUGCAUUAAAUACCGCAUCACAAGAAGAAAUCAUAGAUUUGGCUGCUAUACUGGGAUUCCAUUCAAUGAUGAACCAAGAUCAAUACCAUGCUUCACUAUUAAAUAAAGGUCAGCCAAUUGGCUUAGGAUGGGACGGUGUUACCAAGGCAACACAGCCUAAGGUUUAUCCACCAGAGCCACCCAAUCAAACAGAUCCAGAAGACAGUAUUAAACGGGUACGUGAUGAUGAUUCGAAGCUACUUGAUCUCAAUUGGAACAACAUUAAAAAUAUUUCUGAUGAAAAGUUUGAGAAUCUAUUCAAUGCUUUAGUGGAAAAUACUCAUUUAGAAACAUUAAGUUUGGUAAAUGUUGGACUUACUGAUCGGUUAGCAGACAAGCUUGCUGAAGCAUUAGAAAAAAAUUGCACAUUACGCGUUUGCAAUGUGGAAACAAAUUUCAUUAGCCCUGUAGGAAUAAUUCAUUUAGUCAAGUCCUUAUUGAAACAGAGAUCUUUAGAAGAAUUCCGUGCCACCAACCAGAGAUCCCAAGUAUUGGGAAAUAAGAUAGAAAUGGAACUUACCAAAUUGAUUGAACAAAAUCCAACCAUUCUUAGACUCGGUUUGCAUUUGGAGUACAAUGAUGCUCGUCAUCGCAUUGCAUCACAUUUACAACGCAAUAUUGACAGGAUAAGAAAAGACACGCCGUUGAAAAUGAAAUUUAGGUUCUUUAGAAAAACACCCCAGAAGCACCGCAAGAACUUGAUCAAAUAAAUGAUCGGCGGAUUACAUUAUUGAGUACGUCAGAGCCGUGUGGGCGCAAACUCCGCAUAAAUUACAUAUUUUGGCUACGUACACUAUUUAGGCCGCUUACGCAGAACUGGUCACUUUGCGCGUACGUACACUGGCGGUUGGGUUGUACACAAAAAGGCUAAAUAAUUACGAGUUUGUGCCUAGACCUUGGUCCUAGACUCUUAUUUUUUAAGUAUUUAAUUAUAUACUAUAUUUAUAUAAUGUAUUGUUUUUUUUUCUCCUCAUUAAUUGUUCAAACAAUUUGUAUAUAUAUUUAUGUUGCGGUCUUAUGCUGGCCUUUUCAUAUGCGUUUAGUUAUUAGUGCAUGUGUGUGACAAUUGUAUUGAUUUGAAUUUUUAAACAUAAAAUUGUAUUUAUUAAUAUAAUUGAGUUAAACAAAUUUAUUAUAUAAAAAGAAAUUUUAUUUUGUUAAACUGCACAAUUUUUUUUGUGCGUAUUGUUUUAAAAAAAUGAUAUAUUUUUUACUAUUGAGUUGUUCAUACAAAAUUAAGUAGUACCUAGAAAGACUAAUUAAAACAAAUAGUAUAACCAUAUUUUGAUUUUGUAUUGCUAAACAUUUAUAGUUAUUUUAUUAAGGUUAUUAUGUAUUUUUACACUGAUACUAUUUCACUUUUAAUUGCAUGAAAUGCCUUUAAUUGUAAACAAUUUUACUACACCAAAUUUUGCCAUACUAUUUUUAUAAACUGAUUAUUUUGUAUUAAUGUUGCUGUAGUGUUGCAACAACAUUAUUAUAAUGCGCUGAUCACUUAUUAUAUUCACUUAAAAUAUAUAGUAAUGUAUAACG